AGAACGAACGCUGGCGGCAUGCCUAACACAUGCAAGUCGAACGAGACCUUCGGGUCUAGUGGCGCACGGGUGCGUAACGCGUGGGAAUCUACCCUUGGGUUCGGAAUAACAGUUGGAAACGACUGCUAAUACCGGAUGAUGUCGCAAGACCAAAGAUUUAUCGCCCAAGGAUGAGCCCGCGUAGGAUUAGCUAGUUGGUGAGGUAAAGGCUCACCAAGGCGACGAUCCUUAGCUGGUCUGAGAGGAUGAUCAGCCACACUGGGACUGAGACACGGCCCAGACUCCUACGGGAGGCAGCGAGGUAGGGAAUUAGUGGAACAAGU
rnacentral:rRNA from 1 species